rnacentral:rRNA from 1 species
UACGGGGGGGGGCAAGCGUUUGUUCGGAAUUACUGGGCGUAAAGGGCUCGUAGGUGGCCAACUAAGUCAGACGUGAAAUCCCUCGGCUUAACCGGGGAACUGCGUCUGAUACUGGAUGGCUUGAGAUUGGGAGAGGGAUGCGGAAUUCCAGGUGUAGCGGUGAAAUGCGUAGAUAUCUGGAGGAACACCGGUGGCGAAGGCGGCAUCCUGGACCAACACUGACGCUGAGGAGCGAAAGCCAGGGGAGCAAACGGG